rnacentral:tRNA from 1 species
GGCGGCGUAGCUCAGAUGGCCAGAGCAUUCGGUUCAUACCCGAAGUGUCAGGGGUUCGACUCCCUUCGCCGCCACCA